UGCAGCGAUGUCCUGCGGCAAAUCAACAAAGCACUAAACGAACGGAUAUCGAGAGUCAGAGAGCAGCUCUGGGCAACGUUGCAGACAAAACAAAGGGAUAACGGAUGAAAGAAUAAUGCUUUUCGAUGUUGGGGAGAGCAGAAGAGACAAUGGCGGUGGCAGUAGCAAUAUUAUUUGCCAAAGAAGAAGUAUCACACAAGGGGAUAAAUAGAAAAUAGAAAAUGCUGCAGUAAUGAUGGUAAAAAGCUUCGUGUGAACGGAAGUUAAAGACAACAAAAGGUAGAAGUUUCAAGUGUAUAAAUACAAUGGAAUAUGGGUUUACCAGCUGUGAGGCAGCCUUGGCUUUUCUAAUAUUCGCUUCCAACCUUAGGCCACAUUCAAGGACUUAGCAGAUAAUACACAGGAAUAGAGAUUUAACGAGUACGAUAAGAUUUG